CUACGGGGUGCUGCAGUGAGGAAUAUUGCACAAUGGAGGAAACUCUGAUGCAGCAACGCCGCGUGGAGGAUGACGCAUUUCGGUGUGUAAACUCCUUUUAUAUGUCAAGAAAAUGACGGUAGCAUAUGAAUAAGCACCGGCUAACUCCGUGCCAGCAGCCGCGGUAAUACGGAGGGUGCAAGCGUUACUCGGAAUCACUGGGCGUAAAGGACGCGUAGGCGGGUUGGAAAGUCAGGUGUGAAAUCCUACAGCUUAACUGUAGAACUGCACUUGAAACUUCUAAUCUAGAGUAUGGGAGGGGGAGAUGGAAUUAGUGGUGUAGGGGUAAAAUCCGUAGAUAUCACUAGGAAUACCUAAAGCGAAGGCGAUCUCCUGGAACAUUACUGACGCUAAGGCGUGAAAGCGUGGGGAGCAAACAGGAUUAGAUACCCGAGUAGUC
rnacentral:rRNA from 1 species